GUCCACGGCCGCACCACCCCGAACACGCCCGAUCUCGGCUGAUCUCGGAAGCUAAGCAUGGUCGGACCUGGCUAGUACUUGGAUGGGAGAGCCCAUGCUUAGCACACUCAGAGCUCUGGAUU
rnacentral:rRNA from 1 species